GUAGGUGAACCUGCGGAAGGAUCAUUACUGAGUUUUUUUUGAACGGGUUGUAGCUGGCCUUUUGUAAGGGCAUGUGCACGCCUGGCUCAUUCACACUCUCUCACCUCUGUGCACUAUUUGUAAGAACACAACAAAGGUUACAGACCGCCAGCCGGUUGAAGGCCUUUAUUGUUUCUUAUGUUUUAUUACAAACGCUCUAGUAUCAGAAUGUUUAUCUUGCGUAAUGCAUUAUUACAAUAAUAUACAACUUUCAGCAACGGAUCUCUUGGCUCUC
rnacentral:misc_RNA from 1 species